rnacentral:lncRNA from 1 species
GAGUCCUAUAGUUGCUGUGGUCCAGAGGCCUGCCAGUUCCUGCUUUAACGCAUAUGUAGUCGUAAUUGAUGUUCUAACACGGCCUUGGAUGUUUCUGUCCUAAAUAGCUGACAUUGCAUCUUCAAGACUGUGAAGACACUGGAGCUCACCAAGAAGGAUACCCCUCAUCCAGAGACAAAGGAGGAGCCACAAUGAGAUGGUAGGAGGGGCGCAAUCACAAUAAAAUCAAAUCCCAUAAGUGUUGGGUGGGUGACUCACAGACUGGAGAACACUUAUACCACAGAAGUCCACCCACUGGAGUGAGGGUUCUGAGCCCCAUGUCAGGCUUCCCAAUCUGGGGGUCCGGCAACGGGAGGAGGAAUUCCUAGAGAAUCAGACUUUGAAGGCUAGCAGGAUUUUAUUCCAGGACUUCGACAGGAAUGGGGGAAACAGAGAAUCCCCUCUUGGAGGGCACAAACAAAGUAGUGUGUGCAUCGGAACCCAGGGGAAGGAGCAGUGACACCAUAGGAGACUGAACCAGACCUACCUGCUAGUGUUGGAGGGUCUCCUGCAGAGGUGGGGGGUGGCUGUGGCUCACUGUGGGGACAAGGACAUGGGCAGCAGAAGUUCUGGGAAGUACUCCUUGGCAUGAGCCCUCCCAGAGUUUGCCAUUAGCCCCACCAAAGAGCUGGAUAGGCUCCGGUAUUGGGUCGCCUCAGGCCAAACAACCAACAGAGAGGUAACGCAGCCCCAGGCAUCAGCAGACAAGCAAGCGGAUUAAAGUUUUACUGAGCUCUGCCCACCAGAGCAACACCCAGCUCUAUCCACCACCAGUCCCGCCUAUCAGGAAACCUGCACAAGCCUCUUAGAUAGCCUCAUCCACCAGAAGGCAGACAGGAGAAGCAAGAAGAACUACAAUCCUGCAGCCUGUGGAACGAAAACCACAUGCACAGAAAGACAGACAAGAUGAAAAGGCAGAGGGCUAUGUACCAGAUGAAGGAACAAGAUAAAACCCCAGAAAAACAACUAAAAGAAGUGGAGAUAAGCAACCUUCCAGAAACAGAAUUCAGAAUAAUGAUAGUGAAGAUGAUCCAGGACCUCGGAUAAAGAAUGGAGGCAAAGAUCGAGAAGAUGCAAGAAACGUUUAACAAAGACCUAGAAGAAUUAAAGGACAAACAAACAGAGAUGAACAAUACAAUAACUGAAAUG